UAUGAAGUAAACUAAUACAAGUUUUAAGAUUCAUACUCUUACUAUGGUCUCGACUGCCCUUCAUAA
rnacentral:tRNA from 1 species